rnacentral:rRNA from 1 species
GACGUAGGGUGCAAGCGUUGUCCGGAAUUAUUGGGCGUAAAGAGUUCGUAGGCGGUUACUUAAGUCUGGUGUUAAAGCCCGAUGCUCAACAUCGGCAUGGCAUUGGAAACUGGGUAGCUAGAGUGUGUCAGAGGUUACGGGAAUUCCUGGUGUAGCGGUGAAAUGCGUAGAUAUCAGGAGGAACACCUGUGGCGAAAGCGCGUAACUGGGGCACAACUGACGCUGAGGAACGAAAGCCAGGGUAUCCAAAGGG